GCGGCUGCGAGGGGUGAAUGGCUGUGCCGGAGCUGCUCCCAGCCUCCUGCUUCGGCUUCCUGGGCUCUGUUGGGGACACGGGGUUUUGUCAGCUGGUGGCAGAGUCCCCUCAGCACCCAGGGGAAAGGUUUACUGAUAAAUAAACACCAAGGAUCGAGUAUGAAGAAUGGAUAUGUUUGAAGAGUGCAGCCCUGGCUGGGUGCAGGCUGGGACAGAUGCCUGGGUUUAUAGACCUGAGUUUUGCCUGCGGACGUGUAACACGUAAACUUGUGUAAAUCUUUACCAGGUACUGGUGUCCCUCAAGAACACUUUGCCCUCGUUAUUUGCAGUGCCAGAGUGGAAACACACCGUGGUCUGUCUGUCCCAGCAAACCCUGCCGAGGUGCAGUGAACCAGGGCCACUCUGAAACCCGCAGGAAAUCUUUUGUUACCUGGAGACCCACAUGUGAGCAGCGUGGUCCUGAAGCUUCUUCUCCAAAUCUGGAAGAGCAGAGACAUGCAAUGAUGCUCAUAUUUGUUGUGUAAGUAAAAUUCAGGGAUUAACAGCAUUUCUUUUCCCAGCAGUUUUAGAGGCAAUAAGACCAUUUCAAAUGGGGAAUGUUAUAUAUGCAACUGGAAGGAAAAGUCUGGCUUCCAGAUAGCAGGAGAAACGUGACAGCCUUAAAGAAAUUAAUUUCUCAGCAUGUGCUUUUGUCCAUCAGCUGGGGUAGAGCAGGACACGGAUCUCUUAAAGGAGUUGGUUUAAAUAGAAACACUCAGAGGAACAGUAUGUCCACUGACAUGUGUAAAGCCUAGAAUCAGGCGCAAGGGGCUUAGGUCUCCCUCAUCUGCAGGAAUGUUUUCUUCUGGUCCCUGUGAAGCUACACCAGUGUAAACAUACUGUUAAUGAAUCAAAACCACAUUGUUCACUGCCUGUUUCCAAGGCACUUAUCAUCCGGGCAUUUGGAGUGACUGGGAUGCUCUUAAUGCUUCUCCUCAAGGUAUAUGCUUGAAAUACUUAUUCAGACCUUGUCCUGCAGAAUUUGCUCCUGGGAUGGAGUUUAUGCUUCAGUUUUACUGAAGUUACAUGGUAUUUUCGGAUGUUGAGCCCGGCAGGAUCCUAGGCCCAAGGAAUCCCAGUGGGAGUGCCCAGACCUUCACUAUAAGCAGAAUUAGGUUCCCUGUGUGCAACUACAUGAGAUGUGCUUUUCAUUUUUGGUGACUCUCUAAAACCACCUGAGGGUCACAGUGGAGGACCGGUGCUGGUAUGGCCACAGCAGCUGCGGUCUCCGCUGCCUGUGACCCCCGGCCUCCUGGCCAUGGCCCCACAGGCCCAGGGCACCUCAGCUUCAGCCUCCACAAGCCAGUAUUUGUACCUGGUUUGUUCUGCCAUUGCUCAGAGAUAAUGUCUGAAGGGGAAUGAGUAUGGACUGGUGGAAAAGAUCUACCCUGCAGCUCUAUAACAGAAGCUAUCAUUCAAGUAAUGUAAGAAAAGACAGAGCACAGAGGAAAGAUUUAAGGUCCAAAUGCCCAAAGUAAAUGCAUAAGUCAAGGCUUCCAGCUAAAUCUGGAGCCAAGUUUUAUGCAGAUUUUGCACUUGUCUUGUUUUUAAACUGUCUGAAUCGAAUCACUGCAAGUCCCUGUGUGGACACUUCUUAAACUCUGCUUAUAGCAACCAAUUUAUGUCAGAAAAAGUACAUAAGCCGAAUCAAUUCAACUACUUUUAAAAUGUUUGAGUAGCUUCAAGCAGGGAUUUUCACCAGCUAAAUUGUU